CAGUCGAGCGAACGGAUAAGGAGCUUGCUCCUUUGAAGUUAGCGGCGGACGGGUGAGUAACACGUGGGUAACCUACCUAUAAGACUGGAAUAACUUCGGGAAACCGGAGCUAAUGCCGGAUAACAUAUAGAACCGCAUGGUUCUAUAGUGAAAGAUGGUUUUGCUAUCACUUAUAGAUGGACCCGCGCUGUAUUAGCUAGUUGGUAAGGUAAUGGCUUACCAAGGCGACGAUACAUAGCCGACCUGAGAGGGUGAUCGGCCACACUGGAACUGAGACACGGUCCAGACUCCUACGGGAGGCAGCAGUAGGGAAUCUUCCGCAAUGGGCGAAAGCCUGACGGAGCAACGCCGCGUGAGUGAUGAAGGUUUUCGGAUCGUAAAACUCUGUUAUUAGGGAAGAACAAAUGCGUAAGUAACUGUGCGCAUCUUGACGGUACCUAAUCAGAAAGCCACGGCUAACUACGUGCCAGCAGCCGCGGUAAUACGUAGGUGGCAAGCGUUAUCCGGAAUUAUUGGGCGUAAAGCGCGCGUAGGCGGUUUCUUAAGUCUGAUGUGAAAGCCCACGGCUCAACCGUGGAGGGUCAUUGGAAACUGGGAAACUUGAGUGCAGAAGAGGAAAGUGGAAUUCCAUGUGUAGCGGUGAAAUGCGCAGAGAUAUGGAGGAACACCAGUGGCGAAAGGCGACUUUCUGGUCUGUAACUGACGCUGAUGUGCGAAAGCGUGGGGAUCAAACAGGAUUAGAUACCCUGGUAGUCCACGCCGUAAACGAUGA
rnacentral:rRNA from 2 species